rnacentral:hammerhead_ribozyme from 1 species
GCGCUGCUGAGGAGUUUCACAAUAAGACGAAACGGCCGUCCAGUGU